CACAUGCAAGUCGAGGGGAACGACAUCGAAAGCUUGCUUUUGAUGGGCGUCGACCGGCGCACGGGUGAGUAACGCGUAUCCAACCUGCCCACCACUUGGGGAUAACCUUGCGAAAGUAAGACUAAUACCCAAUGACGUCUCUAGAAGACAUCUGAAAGAGAUUAAAGAUUUAUCGGUGAUGGAUGGGGAUGCGUCUGAUUAGCUUGUUGGCGGGGUAACGGCCCACCAAGGCUACGAUCAGUAGGGGUUCUGAGAGGAAGGUCCCCCACAUUGGAACUGAGACACGGUCCAAACUCCUACGGGAGGCAGCAGUGAGGAAUAUUGGUCAAUGGACGAGAGUCUGAACCAGCCAAGUAGCGUGCAGGAUGACGGCCCUAUGGGUUGUAAACUGCUUUUAUAAGGGAAUAAAGUGAGUCUCGUGAGACUUUUUGCAUGUACCUUAUGAAUAAGGACCGGCUAAUUCCGUGCCAGCAGCCGCGGUAAUACGGAAGGUCCGGGCGUUAUCCGGAUUUAUUGGGUUUAAAGGGAGCGUAGGCCGGAGAUUAAGCGUGUUGUGAAAUGUAGAUGCUCAACAUCUGCACUGCAGCGCGAACUGGUUUCCUUGAGUACGCACAAAGUGGGCGGAAUUCGUGGUGUAGCGGUGAAAUGCUUAGAUAUCACGAAGAACUCCGAUUGCGAAGGCAGCUCACUGGAGCGCAACUGACGCUGAAGCUCGAAAGUGCGGGUAUCGAACAGGAUUAGAUACCCUGGUAGUCCGCACGGUAAACGAUGGAUGCCCGCUGUUGGUCUGAAUAGGUCAGCGGCCAAGCGAAAGCAUUAAGCAUCCCACCUGGGGAGUACGCCGGCAACGGUGAAACUCAAAGGAAUUGACGGGGGCCCGCACAAGCGGAGGAACAUGUGGUUUAAU
rnacentral:rRNA from 1 species